GAUGAACGCUGGCGGCGUGCCUAAUACAUGCAAGUCGAGCGAACGGACGAGAAGCUUGCUUCUCUGAUGUUAGCGGCGGACGGGUGAGUAACACGUGGAUAACCUACCUAUAAGACUGGGAUAACUUCGGGAAACCGGAGCUAAUACCGGAUGAUAUUUUGAACCGCAUGGUUCAAAAGUGAAAGACGGUCUUGCUGUCACUUAUGGAUGGAUCCGCGCUGCAUUAGCUAGUUGGUAAGGUAACGGCUUACCAAGGCAACGAUGCAUAGCCGACCUGAGAGGGUGAUCGGCCACACUGGAACUGAGACACGGUCCAGACUCCUACGGGAGGCAGCAGUAGGGAAUCUUCCGCAAUGGGCGAAAGCCUGACGGAGCAACGCCGCGUGAGUGAUGAAGGUCUUCGGAUCGUAAAACUCUGUUAUUAGGGAAGAACAUAUGUGUAAGUAACUGUGCACAUCUUGACGGUACCUAAUCAGAAAGCCACGGCUAACUACGUG
rnacentral:rRNA from 1 species